GACGAACCGUGCGAACGUUGUUCGGAAUCACUGGGCUUAAAGGGUGCGUAGGCGGCGUGGCAAGUCUGAUGUGAAAUCCCGGGGCUCAACCCCGGAACUGCAUUGGAUACUGCCAUGCUAGAGUACUGGAGAGGAGAUUGGAAUUUACGGUGUAGCAGUGAAAUGCGUAGAUAUCGUAAGGAAGACCAGUGGCGAAGGCGAAUCUCUGGACAGUUACUGACGCUGAGGCACGAAGGCCAGGGGAGCAAACGGG
rnacentral:rRNA from 1 species